UGUUAAAUGUCUUUUUGGCUAUUGCGGUUGAUAACCUGGCAGAUGCUGAAAGUCUGAACACAGCUCAGAAAGAAGAAGCUGAAGAAAAGGAGAGAAAAAAGAGUGCCAGAAAAGAGAGUUUGGAUGCUAAAAAGGGGGACAAACCAGAGGGUGAAUCAAAGAAGGCCAAGGAUACUAAGGUUAUAAUCAAUGAAUAUGGAGAAGAACAAGAAGAAGACAAAGAUCCGUAUCCACCUUGUGAUAUCCCAG